rnacentral:lncRNA from 1 species
CGCCGGUCGCCCGCGUCCCGCGACCUCGUCGUUCCCGAGUGAGGGAGCCUGGGCGCGCGGGGGGAGGUGAUGCCUGAUGGCGAGUAACGGCGCCGCGCGAGCUGUGGGCGGAGGUGGCGAGUGGGCAAGCGCCGGGCCGCCCCAUGGAGAGGCGAUCGGAGGGCAACGCCGCGAACCGGCCGGCAAAACUAGGUCAGUCCUAAGCUCGCAUUAUGUUUCGCACUUAUGAUAUAUGUUGUUAUAAUUCGAGUCGCUGCGCGUAGAGAGACGAGGGUGCGGUAAAUAAAUUGGUGAUUGCUACAUGCUAGCUUGUGUUCAUUCUUCCACAUAUGAAGCUGAAAUUCGUAAUUAGGGCAAGAUGUAGCGCAAUUUUGAUCCUACAUAUUACGAUCAGACUACUCUCAUGAAAUGAUUCGUAGUUUCGCACAUGAGUUGCUUCUUAUUGUGUGUUGCUGGGUCUCAAAUCACAAGGAUGAAGAGCCGCAGAGGUAUCAGUAGUACUAGCCUACUAGAAUAGCUGGGAUAUUUGCUUGAUAGAAAAAAUCCCCCUUAGAAUCAGCUAUGCAUGCGAGUGUAUUCUGUUCCUAGGUGUUGUUCCUGGUUACCGUCUCUACAAGGCUCAGAAGGUUUGGUACAGUGGUUAGAUGAUAGCAUCUUUUUGGAUGUAGAACUGUUUAAACUGUAGACAUACUUCUGGAAUUUUAGAUUGUUUGCAUCUCUUCGUAUUCUUGAAAGUACUUACGUACGUAUUUCUUCAUUCCAACCCGCGUGAAGCUAGCCAGAUGCUACUUACAUCCUUAACAAUAGCUUAAAAUGUUUUAUACUCCCUUCUUUUUUUUAAUUUUACGCUGUUAAAUUUUGGAUCAUCAUUUGCCUUAUCCAAAAUCUGUGUACAAAUAUGCAAAAUAAAGUCAUGCUUAAAGUGUCUUUGGCAAUACAUGGAAUUACAACAAAACAAUUAAUAAUUAUGUAAAUUUUGUGAAUAAGACGAAUGGUCAAAUACAACCAAGAGUCAAAGACGUCAAAUAAAAAAAAGGUUGGAGUGAGUAUUAUUUAGCACAGGAACACAUAGUGUUUCAUUAUACUCUAAUUGAUAAUUAUUUCCUCCAUCCCAAAAUAUAAAGAGUUCUGAAGUUUUGCAUAUAUGUACUAAGGUGGUAGGUGGAGUUAAAUGGUGGAUGACUGUGAAUGGUUGAGAUGAGAAAGUGGAGGGGAGUAUAUUUUGGUACAAAUUUUGAAUGCUAGUAGUUUUAUUUUGGAAUGGAGGGAGCAGCUAGUUCAAGAUUUGAGAACUCAGCAAGCACUGAGCACAUGCCAUAUCUAACUUGCAUUUACAUCUUGGUUGGAAGGGACAUUUAAGCAUUCAUAGCAAAGAGACAUCCCAAAUUCAAAAUUCAGAAACCAGUUAGUCGACUGAGGAAGUGAGAUUCUGCCAAGCACACCUUUAUAAUUACCAGCACACGAGUACAGAAGUCUUACAUUAUUAUUUGCCACAUAGUUCAGCUCGAAUAUUUAACAGCUACACACAAUAACAAAUGCAGGCUAGUUUCUGCAAGAUCGACACUUGAUUUGCUUUACAACCUAGAAGUAUAUACAGACACGUACUUUCUUCUUUUAUUUCUAACCAAGCAACCACAAUCUUCUUAACAGAAUAACAAUAUAUCAAUAUGUAGUUUCCUUCAGUAACGUAGCCACUUCAAGGAAUCUAGUUUAUACUGGCGUUGUUUCGUGUCGUCAGGAACCUCAGAUGCUUCAUCCCUUGUAAAACAAAUUGGAAAGAUGUGCAAUGAGUUUAUCUUAGCAGUGAUCAAAUUUGAAAGAUCUAAUUCAGGGUAACGUGGAAUUGCAUUUGAAUAAGAGAAACUCAGGCGCUGUUUAUCUUAAUUUGCGAGGCAUGCUGUGUGUGUGGUAUACCGUAUAUUGGGUCGCAGAGGUUACUACCCAAAAUAUUUUUUAAAAGAAUGUCGUAUGCACAGUUUCCUUUUGAAGGGCUUCACUGGCUAAGCUCCCUUACAAGAGAAAACAACAUAACUUCGAAUAAAUUGCAUCUUCCUAUAGACACAUCACUCUUGUGCCUCCUAAAAAGACAGCAACCACCUUUUAAUUUUGGCAGAAAAACUGACAUGAAAAGGAGAUGUUUAAAGCACCUGUCGGUUGCUACUCUGGAACUGAAUUAAGCACAACUGCUCAAGGGGUUGGACUGCAAGAUUCAAACAUUUUUUUGGGUACCAGAGAUUAUUCUUCUGGUGCUAGAUCCCACGUGACUAAUUGGCACUAGGGGACAAGUUGGGGCCAGCUCCUUGUGCUUGUGUGCAAACCAACAAAUCACAAAAUAGCAUGCAGAUUAUGUGUGAAUGAUGGCUUGGCACGGACUCAAAUUAUGAGCUCUUGGUUUGUCCAGAUUUCUCUGAUAGUACAGACCAGUGCAGAUACUCUGAUCGAAGUUGCACUGCAUCUGGAAAGUAGAGCAGCAAAGGAAACGACAACUGACUACCCCUAGCUUAUAUAAGUUAUAAGUGGUGAACCAUGCAUCUAGGGCAUGACUUUCAUGGCUAACAUCUAACGAUCCCUGCAUGUGGGUUCUUGUGAGAUGUGGCAGUAGCUAUCAGCUUACAAGUUACAACCUGCUAGAGUGGAUUGCAGGCAGCUGCUGCUUGUACAUGUUGCUAAGCAGCAGAAUACCUGCUGCUUGUACAUGUUGCUAAGCAGCAGAAUACCUGCUGCUUGUACAUGUUGCUAAGCAGCAGAAUACCUGCUGCUUGUACAUGUUGCUAAGCAGCAGAAUACCUGCUGCUUGUACAUGUUGCUAAGCAGCAGAAUACCUGCUGCUUGUACAUGUUGCUAAGCAGCAGAAUACCUGCUGCUUGUACAUGUUGCUAAGCAGCAGAAUACCUGCUGCUUGUACAUGUUGCUAAGCAGCAGAAUACCUGCUGCUUGUACAUGUUGCUAAGCAGCAGAAUACCUGCUGCUUGUACAUGUUGCUAAGCAGCAGAAUACCUGCUGCUUGUACAUGUUGCUAAGCAGCAGAAUACCUGCUGCUUGUACAUGUUGCUAAGCAGCAGAAUACCUGCUGCUUGUACAUGUUGCUAAGCAGCAGAAUACCUGCUGCUUGUACAUGUUGCUAAGCAGCAGAAUACCUGCUGCUUGUACAUGUUGCUAAGCAGCAGAAUACCUGCUGCUUGUACAUGUUGCUAAGCAGCAGAAUACCUGCUGCUUGUACAUGUUGCUAAGCAGCAGAAUACCUGCUGCUUGUACAUGUUGCUAAGCAGCAGAAUACCUGCUGCUUGUACAUGUUGCUAAGCAGCAGAAUACCUGCUGCUUGUACAUGUUGCUAAGCAGCAGAAUACCUGCUUUGUUAGUUGGUUACCUCAGUUCCAUGCUCCCUGCGUGUUGUACUUGGGGAACGGGAGCCUGCCGGACUCGAUGAGGCCGACGUCGUGUUCGAGGACCUCGUAGUGGCGGCGCACCUCGUCGGCGGUCUUGCUGCCUCCCAUGGCACGGGACACCUUGUGCCAGCGGUCGGGCGUGCCCUCGCCGUAGUAGGCAAGGGCCUCCUCGAACAGCUUGUUCUCCCUGGUGCUCCACGUCGACGCCAUGUUGGCGCUGCUGCCGUUGCGGGAGGAGCUCCGGGACCCUGAAGACAUGCUCGGAUUGGACUAGUGUCAAAUUUCGUCUUUUCUCUGGAAGUGUUAAUUCUUUCUGAAUUCCAGAGGAGAUCUCUGUUGUUCUGAUAUGAUCUCUGUUCUGCUCGCAUGGCUGCUAUUUAUAGGCCGUCGGGGCGCCGGCGGCCGGCCGUCCUCGUCUUCGCAAGUGUGUGAUUGUGUGAGCUGUAGCUCGUAUGGGCUAAUAUAACAGUGUGGCACACUUGUCAUUGGCUUGCAGAUCGGAGGGUGAGUGAGAAUGGGAUUCUCCUUCUCUUUAGCAAGGACCCACAAGAAGAGAAGGAUAUAUCGUAUCUCUGUCGGUUCCAGUAUACAACUGCUUUUUUUCAAAUGUAGAUUCCGGUGGUGCACAAUCUAAAAUAGAUGCCCAGCGUGGACAAACAUAUGAAAUGUAUAAUGCUGCAUCUACAGGUAUAUGAAACCGGGACCUUUGGUUUCUUCCGUUGAUGAAUGAUCGCAAGGUCGCAACAUCUAAACAUUUAGGGAGGGUAUAAAACCUAGAAUAUCCGAUAAAUACGAGUAUAGCAGUGGUGUCGGACAAUAUAAUAUUUAUUACUUAUGUUUCAUAUUGUAGUAUGUUCUGGUUAUCACUAGAUUUAUUUUGGAUGCGCGUGUGUAUGAGAAGUUUUACGUUCCUUGAUAAAAUACAUUUGAGGUAUCAAGGAUGGUAAAAAACCUCAAAACAUAUUCAUUGAUCCAUGUAUAAAUGUAAAUAUGGCUAAAAUAUUUUAUAAUAUGGAAUGGAUACAGUAGGUACUUG